GUAUCAGUUGAGUACUAAACACUAUUUCUAUAAUGAAAAAGUACAGAGAGUUCCGUUUAUGUUUAUCCUUUUAUUAAAAAUUGCUACAACCUGGUCAAAAAGUUCUCUCUGUGUGGCAGGAUAUCUGCCAAAGAAUGAGUCUGUUGAAAGCGCCACACCAAAUUCAGCAUUAAGGGCCAACCCUGACCACUGCUGAGUCGUGUGAAGAGGCUGACAGUGGCGUGGCCACCACCCAGGAUGGAGAGAAAGGCACCGUGAGUUGUUAAUGGAAAAAUCCAACUUCCUUUUCUUCCAAAGAUGAUGACUGAAACCAAAGUAGAGCUUUCCCUGAAACUUUCUGAGAUGCAAGUGGGUGUUAAAUGGUUCAGCAAAGCUAAGCUGGAGCAGUUGGUGUGCUUUGAAAUGAGGCAACGUUGGAAAAAUGAAAUCUACCUAAAGAUCACUAUGUGUUUCAAAGAACUGAGUAGAACCAGAACUCUUCAGAAAAGAAUGUGCUAAAAGUUUGUCCUUGAGACGUUUCCAAGCCAAGACAGUCCUAGGAGCACUUCCCAUUGAGACUGAAAGGCUCAUCCACUUACAGUGAUUCAUGGGAAAAGAGGACAGCACCCUCAUCUCUGGUCCAAGAACACAAUCCUGAGUGACACAGGAUUGCCCUGAAAGUCAACAGCAUCCAUCUUACAAAAAUCAACAACACUUGCUUUUCAACCUUCCAAAGAAUUUACUGGUCUGGUUUGGCCUUUUGGUGCCACAUUCCAUUCCAGAACCCCAGCUAAAAUGUUCUCAAGGGCUGACCAGAGAUUCCUCCUCCUUUCUCUGGGCUGGUACAACUUGACCGCUGCUUGACAUCAAGGUCAACUGGAGACUGGGAACAGUUAUGUAACUGCGUUGUAAAUUGAAUUAGAGCUGUACAUGAGCCCAGACCGAGUAACCAGUGCAGCUCCAGGCAAGAGCAGCAACAUGUCCCCCAGAGACAGCACUGGAGGAACAGCUUACUGGGGAAUGGAAAAAGGGUAUCACAGGGUAAAAAAGAAACCAUCUCUUUUGAGUCCCUCUAAAGUCUGGGCAGUUGGCUGCCCCAUCUCAUGUGGAGUAAGAGGGAGGCAUUAAGUGCAGAGAGAGCUGGCGUCAGUAUGGCAGCAAACACUGAGGAAAAAUCAGCACACAUAGUGUACACAAGGAGAAUGAGAAAAAAAUAUUUGUAACAUCAGAACAGAUACCACCCAUAUGAGGGAAAUAAGAAGGCUUACACAUGGAGAGGAAAAAGGCCUCUGGCAGUAGUCUGUGGACUGUAGAAUGAGCAAGAGAGGCAAGACCAUCCUCCUACCAGUGACUGGUCAUUCUGGAGAGGAUACAUGUGCACAGAUCUGGAAAGCCAGGGCUGAAAAGCCUUUUGACACCUUUGGUGACCUAGGACAUAGUCCCCCAAUGUAAGACAUCAUGCUAGAGGGGAACAUAGUACGUUUUCUUCAAAGGCAAAUGAAUAUAACUUGAGAUAACUUUUGAAAAGAAAAAAGGUACUGGGACCAUGGCAUGACCUUGAUCUCUGCUAUCAUGACCGCCUGCAGAAGCAGAUGAGGAGAGGCAGAACAAUGUAAAGCUGAAAACUUGGAGUCACCAAACCAUAGAUAGCUUCAUCUCUUACCAAGUGCUUAAUGUGUGACUAGGUUCUUAAAUCCUCUACAAGUUCCAGCUUCCUCAUUUGUAAAAAAGGAGCAAAUUAAGAUUGGGUGAGUUAAUAGAUGUAAAAGUACUUAGUACAGUACUUUACAAAUAGUAAGUGCCCAAUAGAUGUUAACUGUUA